rnacentral:rRNA from 1 species
UGGACCCUCGGGACGCAGCAGUGGGGAAUAUUGCACAAUGGGGGAAACCCUGAUGCAGCAACGCCGCGUGAAGGAAGACGGUUUUCGGAUUGUAAACUUCUGUUCUUAAUGAAGAAGAAUGACGGUAGCUAAGGAGCAAGCCACGGCUAACUACGUGCCAGCAGCCGCGGUAAUACGUAGGUGGCAAGCGUUGUCCGGAAUUACUGGGUGUAAAGGGAGCGCAGGCGGGAAGCCAAGUCAGCUGUGAAAACUACGGGCUUAACUUUUAGACUGCAGUUGAAACUGGUUUUCUU